GGAGUAGUGGUUGUAACGUAUUAGUGGAGUAGUGGUUGUAACGUAUUAGUGGAGUAGUGGUUGUAACGUAUUAGAGGAGUAGUGGUUGUAACGUAUUAGAUGAUAGUGGUUGUAACGUAUUAGAGGAGUGGUGGUUGUAACGUAUUAGAUGAGGCUGUAUUAGUGGAGUAGUGGUUGUAACGUAUUAGUGGAGUAGUGGUUGUAACGUAUUAUGGAGUAGUGGUUGUAAUGCAUUAGUGGAGUAGUGGUUGUAACGUAUUAGUGGAGUAGUGGUUGUAACGCAUUAGUGGAGUAGUGGUUGUAACGUAUUAGUGGAGUAGUGGUUGUAACGUAUUAGUGGAGUAGUGGUUGUAAUGCAUUAGCGGAGUAGUGGUUGUAACUAUUAGCGGAGUAGUGGUUGAAAUGCAUUAGCGGAGUAGUGGUUGUAAUGCAUUAGAUGAAGCUGCAUUAGUGGAGUAGUGGUUGUAAUGCAUUAGCGGAGUAGUGGUUAUAACGUAUAAGUGGAGUAGUGGUUGUAACGUAUUAGUGGAGUAGUGGUUGUAACUAUUAGUGGAGUAGUGGUUGUAAUGCAUUAGUGGAGUAGUGGUUGUAAAGUAUUAGUGGAGUAGUGGUUGUAACGUAUUAGUGGAGUAGUGGUUGUAAUGCAUUAGUGGAG
ensembl:lncRNA